rnacentral:rRNA from 1 species
UACGUAGGGUGCAAGCGUUGUCCGGAAUUAUUGGGCGUAAAGAGCUCGUAGGCGGUCUGUCGCGUCUGCUGUGAAAACUCAGGGCUUAACCCUGAGCUUGCAGUGGGUACGGGCAGACUAGAGUGCGGUAGGGGAGACUGGAAUUCCUGGUGUAGCGGUGAAAUGCGCAGAUAUCAGGAGGAACACCGAUGGCGAAGGCAGGUCUCUGGGCCGAUACUGACGCUCAUGCACGAAAGCGUGGGGAGCAAACAGG